rnacentral:lncRNA from 10 species
GCCGCAAGCUGCAAUAGAUCUGCAAUGCAGUUAAUUAGUUCCACACUGGGCAGGGCCUAGCACAUGGCAGUAAGGAUUCUUCAUCAAACUGAUGACCUUUGAAAGAGCUGUUUCUAUAGAAAGGAAAGGUCUAAAAUUAAACUACAAAGUGUGAUUUGCUUUUAUGAAUCCAAUGACCAAGACUCCCACUCUCUCCUUUUCUCUUGUCAGCUGCUGCCAAUAUCUGAAGUUUCAUUCAACACCUUGAAAGUCAUUUCCUUACUCCUCAUGCCCCUUGGAAGAUUUAAUUAGAGAUACAUUCAAAGUAGAAUAAACAGAGCAAUAAAGAGAGAAAUUAAAGUAGUGUCAGGAAGUGUCAGUAGCAGAAGAUUGGCCAAGGGAAGAAAUCAAUGGAUCUUCAGGAUGAGAAGGAAAAGUCUGUACACCCAGCCAUUCCUGCCCACCCCCACCCUUCAUACUUCCCUGCAGAAAGUGAGAAUCAACCAGUGAAAAAAAAAGGGAGGUUCCAGGCUUCUUAGGAAGUCACAGGCAGUGAGCACAAUAGUUUAAAGCCUCAAUUUGAAGUCAGACAGAUGGAUAUCCACUUACUGGCUGUGUGAACCUCAGCAAGUCACAACUUCUCUGAUCCUUGCAUUUUGCCUAUAAAAUAGAAAGACUACCAGUACCACCCUUACAGGGUUGUUGGAAAGAAGAAAAGAGAUGAUGAAAGAAAAAGAGCCUGGCCCAGUGAGCCCUGUGGUGGACUUCUAUUAUUAGCUGGAACUCUAGAUGAAAACAGAGGUCAGCUACCCAAUCCUCUACUGCAUUCAGAUAAUGGAAGACACAAACCCUCCCAACCCCAGUGUGUGCAUGCAUGCCUGUGUGUGUAUAAGUAGAAAAAUUCCAUUCUCAAACUGAUUAUUGUUUUCUUAUAAGACAAAACGCGGAGGUGGAGCCAAGAUGGCCGAAUAGGAACAGCUCCAGUCUACAGCUCCCAGCGUGAGCAAUGCAAAAGACGAAUGAUUUCUGCAUUUCCAACCAAGAUGUCAUGGGUCUCCAGAACGCACCAAGUGAGGCCAGAGAGCACUAAGAAGACCAAAUGUGCAGGAGGAGUACAGAGAGACCAGCAGUCACAGGAGCGGCGGUAUGAUGAUGAGGAAGGUGGGAUCCAAGGAGCAUUGACGACUUGCCCAAGGUCACUUCUUUCCUUAGAGACGCUCUUUCCAGUACACAACAGGGACUUCAGAUUGAAAUUUCCUAAGUAAAAUGCCAUUCCCAGGGCACCCCUUUACUGUUGUACUAAAUGACCACAGGCUCUGACAUAUUGGCUUCACCUUUUUCUACUAAAGAGCUACUAUGCUCAUACCCUGGUUUACCCGUUAAGGACUUCUGCAUUACAACCAAGUUGUGCUCACAGUCUUGGCAAAGCAGUGGGUUAGAAUUUGAAUGUCAUUGUUCCCAUAGAAACAAGUUAGAAGUGGAGGGCUGGUGCCAAGACAACUCAUAGAAAUAUAUUUAAAUUACUAUAAAACUGCAAUACAAUUUACUAUAUUAUAGAAAAUAUAGUAAAAAGCAAUAUUUUUGCAAUUCUCAUGAUUAACAAUUCAGAGAAAACAGAAAAACAAUCUAUUCCAAAGUAAACUUUCAGAUUUCCGUUAUCUUGAAUGUUGAUAGUUAAAGAAAAGAAGUUUUAAUAAGUAUUCAUUUAACAAGAAUAUCCUCGUUUCCACCAGAUUGACAGCCUGCCACCAAGAAGCUACAGAAGCCUGGAGGGGUGGGGGGAUGACAAGAAAACAGAAUGAGAAGCCUAGAGAUAUGCCCUAACCACUAAAGAAGUCGAGGUGACUUCUAAUUCUACAAAAUGAAGAAAGGAAUAUCACCCCAGACAGGAGAUAGAAACAUGUUGAAGUUAUUCUGAUGAGAAUUGGAGUACUCUCGGGGACUAAUUAUUUCUCAUUUCACUUGAGAAUGCAGAGCUUCCCUUUUUGCUUCAUACAGAUAUUUCACCAGCAUUGUUGAUGCUCCUCAGUCAUAACAAAGGUUGUACUUAGCUAUGAAUGAAAGGGCAAAAAAGGAGCAAAAGAAGAAAAGGUAACUGAGGAAGAACUGAAAAGAAGACAGGACCACCCAGCUCGGAUACCAUGCAUUUGCCCUCUCUGCAGGAAGCCAGGUUCUUCAUUCGUUUAUAGUUUAAUCUUCCAGAGCACAGUGUGCAGCAUGUAUUAGUAUUCAGCAAAUGUUUAUUUGUUUGGGUUAAAAGUCAUAAGAUUCCACAGUGAGAUACUACUCCACACCCACAAGGAUGGCUGUAAUCAAAAAGACAGAUAAUAACAAGUGUGAGUAUAAGGGGAUAUGGAAAAAGUGGGACCGUCAUACACUGCCGGUGGGAAUGUAAAGUGGUGUGGGCUCUUUGGAAAACAGUUUUUCACUUCCCCAAAAUGUUACACAGAGAGUUACCAAAUGACCCAGCAAUUCCACUCCUAUAAAUAUAUCCAAAAGAAAUAAAAAUAAAAAUGUGUACCUCAAUGCUCUUAGUAGCAUUAUUUAAAAUAGCCAAAGAGUGGAAACAACCAAAUGCCCAUCAACUAAUGAAUGGAUAAAUGAAAUGUGCUUUAUCUAUACAACAUAAUAUGAUUAGACCAUUAAAAAGAAUGAAGUACUGAUACAUGCUACCACUUAGAUGAACCUGAAAAUGUUAAGUCAGAGAAGCAAGUUACAGAUCACAUAUGGUAUGAUUUCAUUUAUAUGAAAUGUCCAGAAUAGGAAAAUCUUUAGAGACAGAAAGUAGAUUAGUGUUUGCCUAGGGCCGGGGGUUUGGGGGAAAUGGAAAAUGACUGCUAAUGAGUACAGGGUUUCUUUGGGGGAUAAUGAAAUGUUCUAAAGUUAAUCAUGGUGGUGGUUAUAUGACUCUGUGACUAUACUAUAAACCAUCCAACUCUACACUUUAAAUGGUGAACUAUAUGGUAUGUAAAUUACAUUUUAAUGAACUUUUUAAAAAAGUCACAAAGUUACUAUACCUAUGAAAUUCCUUUACCCAUUUAUUCAACAAAUAUUUUAAGUCCCUACUCUGUGCCAAGUAUGUUAGAGGCCUGUACAAAAUGAUAAACACAACAAAAUUCCUGCCUGCUCUCAAGGCAUUUAUACUUUAAGGAGAUGGGGAACAGACAAUAAGUAAAAUCUCAAGGAACUAGAUAAACACAGUGAAUUUAACACAGGCCCUUUGGUAUGCCACCCUCUCCCAAAUUCCAGUAAAGUGACUGCCAAGGACUUAAAAGGUCUAAAAAGAAGAGACAAACAGAACAAAACAGAAAAUAACCCCAGAAAAGCCAUGACAACAAAAAUUUUAACUACGGAAAACUGAUAAGUAGUAUCUGAUUUAGAAGAGCUGAGAAAUAUGAAACCCAAUUGCUUACAGUGUGAAAAGUAAUAAGAAGCAAGUUUCAAAGCCCCAGAAAGUCUUGGGAUGGAAGCACAGGGCAUCUCUUAAGGUUGAGCUUCAGGGGGGUACUGAAAACAGGAGCUGGGUUGAAAGUUGAAGGAGCAGUGAGACAGCCAUCUCUAGAUUUCAUUCCCCAGGCUUCCACUUCUCCUCCUCUGGCCAGGAAACAGGAGUUUACGCUUUGCAGAGGUUGAAGCAGAGAGAGUCUGGACUUAGGGACAAAAUCUGGAGCAGGGCAGAGACACUAUAUCGAAAAUGGGUGUUGAGUAAAAGUAGGCAUACUGAACAGCGAGGUCCCAGUUCCCUUCCCCUGAUCAGCCCCCAGAACCUUGGCAGUUGGCCUCAAACAUCCCAGGCAAAGGCUGGAUGAUUCCUUUCUGGGGAAAAUGAGCCCACCAAUAGAAAAGAACUACAGAUACUGUCAUUAGUGGGUGUCCCAAUAAAACCAUAGGUAAUCUAUCAGUUAGCAAACUCUGCCCAUACAAGCAUAACUGCCAAUUUGAGUUUUAGUGCCUCACCCCUAAAGUAAUGAUACAGAAAUCUUAGGCAUAAAUAGAUAGCCAAAGAUCAUAGGAUAUUUAAGUAAAUUGUCUAUCAUAGAAGACAGAAAUCAAACACGAAACAGGGAAAACCUGGAAGAAGUUUAAACAAUUCAGGGGACAGAAAAAAACUUUUUAAAAAAAUUCAUAAUGAAUAGCUUCAAAGAAAUAAGGGAAGAUAUCACAUCCAUUAAUAGAACAAAUCACUACAGAAAAACAUUCAGGGAAUAAGAAAGUGUUCUUUAGAAAUUACAUAUAUUAAAGCUAAAAUGUUAAAAUAUCAAAGAUUUGAAGACAACAUUAGGAAACUCUCCCUGAAAGAAAAACAAAAGCUGAAGAGAUGGAAAAUAGCUGAUAAAAGAUAAAGAAAUUAGUGAAUCAAUCCAGGACUAACAGAAGUUGUAGACAGAGCAAGCAGAGAAAAUGGCAGAAAGGAAAGUAUUUGAGAAAUAAGUUACAUAAAAGAUAUUCUAAGAACUGAAGAACAUAAAUCACCAGAUUGAAAAGGCCCAGCAAAUGCGUUGUGCAAUUAGUAGAAAAGACCUCCAUUAAGGCACAUCCAAUGAAGUUUCAGAACACAAGGGAAGAAGGGGAGUUAUUUAUAAAAGGUCAGGAAUCCAGAUGACAGAAUUUCAACAGCCAUACUGGAACUCAGUAACUUCAGAGUUCUGAGGGGCAGUACAUCCAAUCUAGAAUUUUAUAACUAACUAAAAUAUCAAGAAUGAAGGUAGAUUACAGACAUGUAACAUCACAGAUAUAAUAGUGCCUUUCAUACACUGUUCUUAAGAUAUUAAAAGAUGUACUUCGCUGAAAUGAAGACAUAAACAAUAAAGAUGGCAAUGGAAUUUAGAAAACAAAAAUUCCAACCUAGGAAAGAAGUAAAGGAAAUAUCCAGAAUGAUAGGAAAGGUAGUCCCAGAACCACAACUGACCAACAACACAGACUGGGCAGGAAAAGAGAGGACUCCAUCAUGGAGAGUUCCAAGCUGGGGAGAGAAAAAAAAUGAGUUAAAAGAGUGCCUGAUGUAUUUGCCUAUUCUGAGAGGACAUUUGUAGGUUUUGCUUUGUUUUGUUUUGUUUUGUUUUUUCCCCCAGACAUUUAGAGGCUAAAUUAGGGGAUAAAUCAAAUGAAACAAAAAAAGCAAAGCUCAUGCUUCUGUAAGAAAGGAAAUCUGGUCUUUACAUUUUGAAGAUCAGUUAUGAAACAAUAUUUACAAAAUCAUCAGGUAAGAUUAUUUAGAAUUUUGAAAGAAAAUACAAGAAAUCUAAGUAUAUGCCUCUAAGGAAAAGGCAUGAGGAAGAAUGGAGGAGAGAAUGAGAGGAUUACCAUUUUUUGACCUAGAUCUUGUAUUACUGUUUAGCUUUUUAAACUAUGUGUGCAUAUUUACUAAAAACAAAAAUCAAGUUUAAAAAUCAAGUAAAUGAAAAACAAGACAAAAGUUUCAAAUUGGGGUGUUGAAAAGGAAAUAAUGAAGAUGAUUUGAAGGUAAGUAAGUGGGAAUGAAUAAUCCUAUGUUAAAUAGGAUGAUCAGGGAAGAACCCUCAAAGGGGUAAUGUUUGAGCUGAGACAAGAAAGAUGAAAGGAUUCAACCAUGACACAAGCCUGGGGAAAGAGUUCCAGGAAGCUGCAAUAGCCAGUGCUAAGGUGCUGAAACUGGAAUGCACUCAGAGUGUUUGAGAACAGAAAGGAGCCCAGCACAGCUGGAGCUUAGAGAGGAGGGCCAAGUGGUGAGGAAUGAAGAGGAAGAGGUAGGCAGAAGCCAUAGCAUAGAGGAGCUCAGUAGCCAAGGAGAGCAGUUUCUAUUUUAUUAAAAAUGUGAUGGGAAGUCACUAAAAGUUUUCAAGCAAGUGGAGUGAAUUGAAUUAACAUUGAGACAAUUGCUCUGGCUGCUCUGCAGAGAAUGGAAAAUGGAGCAAGAGAGUUGAAGCUGGUAGAAUAAUUCAAUGCUAUUACCAUAAUUCUAAUAGGUGAAGAUGCUACUUGGACAGUGAAGACAAAAAAAUGGAGUUGGAUUUGAGAUAUGUCUUGAAAGUAGAACCAAUGGGACUUGCUGAAUGAUUGACUGUAGGGCAUGAGGAGAGAGACAAAUCAAAAAUGACCAUUAGAUAUUUUAGCGGAGCACUUAAGUGGAAGAUGUACCAUUUACUCAGAUGAAGAUGCAGUGCGGUGGAGGACGAAAGCUUUAGGGAUGGGGGUAAGGCAUUAGGAAUCAAGUAUUCCAUUUUGGAUGGGUUAAGUCCAAUACGCCUGUAAGAUAUCCAAGUGUCCAAGAUGAGUACCAAGUAAAAUUGUUUAUAUAAGUUUGGAAUGGAGAUACAGAUCUGGGAGUCAUAAGCACAUAGAUGGUGUUGAAAGCCAUGGAACUAGGAGAAGAGAGCCAAGAUCCAAGCCCGGAAGCAUUAAGAGGUGAACCAAGGGCCUUUUACCGGACACUGGAUAACAGACUUGCUCACAGUAAGCAAUUAUUUAUGGAAUGGAAUUGGCUAAGACAUAUUAGACCCAGCACUUAAACAGAAUACAUUCAUAGCUGUUCAAAGCUACUCAAGGAAUUUGAGGACAGAAGAGCCUGAGAUGAGAUGUAAAGGCGUAGUCAGCAACGAAAUGGCCAUUUGCUUAAGAAUGUGGGAGAAUUUAAACAUUAGAUUUUCACAGAGAAUUCCUGUGAAAGAGAAUGAAAAUGGAACAUUAUUCUUUACUCGAUAUUUUAUUAUACAGAAAGGAAAACUGUGAUGCCAUGUUGUCUUUGGAAAUUAUUUAAUCUUUUUAAUCCUUGAUUUCCUCAUCUAUAAAAUGGGAAUAAUAACAAUAUUUACCUCAGUUCAUGAGGAAUAGAAGUACAUGUAACAGGCUUAACCCAGUGGCUGGCCCAUAGUCAGCACUCAAUAAAUAUUGCCUAUCACAAUAAUCAUUAUCAUCAGUAUCAUUUCUCAUGGACAAUGCAAAAUGCUUCAUAGGCAUCUGAAAAUAUUUAUUCUUAAUUUAUUGGACAAAUAUAUAAAUUGUAUAAAAAUUGAUUAUUCGAUCAUUCCAGGCAUGUAUAGACCACUUCUUUUUAAUUUAUUUAAUCCAUUAGUUUCUG